rnacentral:rRNA from 1 species
UACGUAGGGGGCGAGCGUUGUCCGGAUUUAUUGGGCGUAAAGAGCUCGUAGGCGGUUUGGCAAGUCGGGUGUGAAAACUCCGGCUCAACUCGGAGACGCCACUCGAUACUGCUAUGACUCGAGUCCGGUAGGGGAGUGCGGAAUUCCUGGUGUAGCGGUGAAAUGCGCAGAUAUCAGGAGGAACACCGGUGGCGAAGGCGGCACUCUGGGCCGGUACUGACGCUGAGGAGCGAAAGCGUGGGGAGCGAACAGG